UACGGAGGAUGCGAGCGUUAUCCGGAUUUAUUGGGUUUAAAGGGUGCGCAGGCGGGAGAUUAAGUCGGCGGUGAAAUUUUGCAGCUCAACUGUAAAAGUGCCUUCGAAACUGGUUUCCUUGAGUGUAGAUGAAGUAGGCGGAAUUUGUGGUGUAGCGGUGAAAUGCAUAGAUAUCACGAGGAACUCCGAUUGCGCAGGCAACUUACUAAACUACUACUGACGCUCAGGCACGAAGGCGUGGGGAUCAAACAGGAUUAGAUACCCGGUAGU
rnacentral:rRNA from 1 species